GGGUAGGUAGGUAAGUGGUUAAAACGGGCAGACUGUAAAUCUGUUGCCUCACGGCUUCGGCAGUUCGAAUCUGUCCCUGCCCACAA
rnacentral:tRNA from 1 species